CCUACGGGUGGCAGCAGUAGGGAAUAUUGCUCAAUGGGGGAAACCCUGAAGCAGCAACGCCGCGUGGAGGAUGAAGGUUUUAGGAUUGUAAACCCCUUUUGUUAGAGAAGAUUAUGACGGUAUCUAACGAAUAAGCACCGGCUAACUCCGUGCCAGCAGCCGCGGUAAUACGGAGGGUGCAAGCGUUACUCGGAAUCACUGGGCGUAAAGAGUGCGUAGGCGGGGUAAUAAGUCAGAUGUGAAAUCCUGUAGCUUAACUAGAGAACUGCAUUUGAAACUGUUACUCUGGAGUGUGGGAGAGGUAGGUGGAAUUCUUGGUGUAGGGGUAAAAUGCGUAGAGAUCAAGAGGAAUACUCAUUGCGAAGGCGACCUGCUGGAACAUAACUGACGCUGAUGCACGAAAGCGUGGGGAGCAAACAGGAUUAGAUACCCGGGUAGUC
rnacentral:rRNA from 1 species